rnacentral:rRNA from 1 species
UACGUAGGGUGCAAGCGUUGUCCGGAAUUAUUGGGCGUAAAGAGCUCGUAGGCGGUUAGUCACGUCGGCUGUGAAAACCUGGGGCUCAACCCCGGGCCUGCAGCCGAUACGGGCAGACUAGAGUUCGGCAGGGGAGACUGGAAUUCCUGGUGUAGCGGUGAAAUGCGCAGAUAUCAGGAGGAACACCGGUGGCGAAGGCGGGUCUCUGGGCCGAUACUGACGCUGAGGAGCGAAAGCGUGGGGAGCGAACAGG